UCGAGUUUCAUAAAUUGGCAACAGCGCUUUCCAGUUCUUACGAAAGUUCGUCUGCAGUGCAAAUAAAAAUAACAACUUAAGUCGACCGUCGUUGAACCGAAGAAUGGUAUCUCGAAGCAUCAAGUACAGUGAUAGUACAAAAAUGUGCUGUGAAAAGAUGUUGUGGCAUUAUCUGGCUUUUCUGUUCUAUGUGGCCUGGCAACAUUACCAGUUACCAAAUCACUUAUCACAAAUACAACAACAUAAUCCUUUCAAGUAACCACUGAUGUUAUUAUCUGCUCAAAAACAAGUACAGGUAACAAAUGUGCCAAGAUAAGGAUCUUUUCUGAACCUUGCGAUUUUGAUAGUGUAACCUGUGACAGCGUGUUUGUUAUUAAGACUGUUUCUACAUCUGUUUAGAAGGCAGCCCAGCUAAGCAAUAGAGUUCCAGUUUCAGUGUCCUGAAGAGUGUGAAGUUAAUAUCCUGCCAUGUGCUUGUACAUUUAGCAGAUCUGCUUGAUGAAAGUCAGAUGCCUUACUGAAUUUGUUACCUAAUGAUAAAGCAUCAUUAUCACCUUUUACCAUGCUACUAUGUAUCUACCUUCACAACGUACGCUCAUCCAGCUUCACUGGCGAGUUAGAUCACUUCCGUCCGUGUUCACUUCCGUCCGCUGUGUCACACCUGCAGGCCCUCGCAACAGGAUUAAGCCCAGUGAACCGACAAUUGACUAAUUUUCGUAGAUUUCCUACUUGCGUUAAAAUCUGUGUCUGUAUAAUAAUUAAAAAAAAACAGGCCCUUCUUAGCGCUCAGUCACUUUCCAUCCAUUAGAUCCUCAUGCUGUCAAAAGCCUAAAACUCAUGUUUGAAGCACACAUUAUACAAAUGUGCGGAGAUACGGUAUUUUCCCAUUACUGCUACCACACCAACCACACUACGUCAAAUGCCAUACUAAAUCAUCACCCAUAUGAUAAAGCAACAGGAAAUUUAUCCCACCCGAGGAGUAAUGCAGUUGGUUGCUGUAAUUCCAUUAUUACGGUUUUUCAUCAUGAACAUUUCAGUGGGCUUCUUAAAAAAGAGCACGCAAGAUCCUUACGGACAUCCUUGAGCCAAUGCUGGAUUUUGUGCUGCCGAUGCUGGAUGACAGAGAAGGACUUUCACCGACAUUCUGCUCCACUCUUAUCUUCAAGACUCAUCCAGCUUGUUGCUGUGACACACUUGCAGUCACUCACCACGGGAUUAUGGCC